rnacentral:lncRNA from 1 species
AGUUGUAAAUCUAAUGGAUGGGAGGGGAGAAAAUACAAGCUCUCCACACAGGUAUGCUCCCCUCUUUUCUGAGAGAGAAGACAUGGGAUUUUCAGCGUAAAUUCCAUGUUAUGUGAGUGCUGUUUGAGUUCUGAAGUUCCUAUGAAUAUCUUCCUGCAAGUGAUCUCUGUAAGACCACCUUACAUGCUGGUCUUAGUUAUUGUUAAAAUUGCAAGGUUUCUUCACACCCUCUUUGAUAAGAAAUGGUUAGCUGGCAGAGCUUUCCCUUGACUUCUGAGACUAGUGUGGGUUGACCCAUGACAGUGGGAAGAAAUCCAGCAUGUUACAUAGAGACCUUGUAUGUAAAUAAACUCUGUAGCCUUAGAAAGUGGAGCUGCUUUUUACAGUUAAAGGGCUGCUAAAUGGCUUGCAGGUGAGAUCUUCUGGCUCACCUUGAUCUUCACAUGAACCCAUUGUGACCUAUCUGGAUUUCCUAGGACCUGUAGUUUCCAUUUGGGUUAUAUUAGUGCCUGAGGAAUGUGUCACUACUGGUCAAGAAAUACUCAGAAAUUCAGGCUGUGAGGGGUUAGAGGAAAGUAAUUUAGGUGAGCUAUCCAGAGCUUUCAACCUCAGGGUUUAUAGGAAAAAAAACAAAAAACAAAAACCCUUAGGACUUCUCAUACUCUAGCCCUGACCUUGCAGUCUCCUCUGAGGGGCCUCCUAAGACCCUUAAAAUAAUAUUACAGUAGGACUUUGAGUGUGCAUUUCACAGUGGAAAUAGCCUCUGGCUAGCAUUACUUCCAAAUGCUAGUUCCAGCUAAAAACAAGUACUUUUUAUUAGUUUCUUGUCUUUCAACAUUCUGCCAUCAAAACAUAUUCAUUUUAUUAACUUACUGAUUAUUGGGAACCUGCAAAAAAAAACACACAUGCUGUCUGCAGCCACCGAUUGGUUAUUUUUGAUAGUUUAAGAUAAUUAUAAAUCAAGUUGUUCUGUCUACUAGAGUCAGAAAUUCUGUGCUAGAAUGGGACUUCUAAAAUUAGGUGGUCCUGUCACUUUCUAGAGAAAGACCCAAAUUCAUAGGUUUAAGUGGCUUGUCUGACAUACACAUACAGCCAGUUAGUAACAGAAUUCAGAGUAGAAUAGAGUUCUUUUUUUUCUGUCAGUCCGUUCUACUUCUCUUUCCUUUUCUUCAUGGUUGAGCAGCUUUUGGCAAAAUGUGUUCCUUAUAGCAGUAGUUCCAAGAGAUGUUAAUAGAUGUAAGAAAAAAAGUGUGUGUGUGUUGGGGGUGGGGGAUUGCAUGGUCAAUUAAAAUGAAGGAAUGCCGAGUUUGUUUCCUUUCUGUAGGACUUCUAAGAGUUUUGAACAUGCUAUUACACAUUGUGAAUUUAUAAAAGGGGACAAACACUGUUUGACCUUAGACUGCACUCCCCUUCUUUAUUCCUCAGAGCAUCUCAAAGGACUACAGGGUCCUUUGGGAAACAUGGCCCUUGAUCGAGUUUACAGCUCUUUGAGAAGACAUCCCUAAUGGAAAUACUGAAUGGCAGAUCUAUUACUGUGGUACCAUGUAGUGUGUAAUAAAUCUUGAAGUCUAGAAAGCAAGUAUAUUUGCUGUUCAGAGCUAUACUUAAGGUGUAGAGAUUCUUUUCCACCUAUGGUGUGUAAAAUCAGUAUUGUGUUUAAUUUUGCAGGUUUUUCAAGGAUCAACUAAUGUGCAAAUACAGUGGUGAUAUAUUGAUAUUACAUUUUAAUAUGCUUUUGUAUGGCACUUUAUAGUUUUCAGACACCUUUUGUAACAGCCCUGUGAGACAGACAAUAUUAUCCUUGUUGUACAGAUGGGGGGACUCUGGAGGCUCUGAAAACUUUUUGGUGAUAUUCCCCUAAGUUUAUACCACAAAAUGAUGGAGCCAGAAUUUAGUUGCAGAACUUCCUGACUCCAAGUCCAGAGUUCUUUACUAGACAUCUGGUUUCUUACUAGCUUUUUGCUAGCUUUUUAUUUUACAGUGAAAAGUAUGGAAGCAAAUCCUGAUCAUUCUGGCUUAUUAUCAAAUACCAUUUAUUUUUUAUUGCAGAGACCGAGCAGAUGUAAUAACUCUCAUUGUAGCCAUCCCAAAGGAAACCCUUCUUUGCCCUUUGCAGUGCCACUUAUUUAGGUAACUGAAGUGUAUUUCCAGUACAAUUUGAUUUUGAACUAAGAUUUGAUAUAGAGUUGUAAUUGCUUACGUAACUCUUUGAAAAUGUAUCAUCCCUGGGUUCUCAGGUGAAGGAGGCAAUUCAAAAGUAAAAAAGAAUAUUCGAAUACAAUAAAUACCCUCUGUUCUCACACAAAUGCUGUUUCUUAGCUUUAACUUGCUUUGACAACCUACUGAUGUAACUUCUUUGUUAACGUGAAAUAUUUAUAUUUUGAAAUAAAAUUACUAGUGUUG